UAACAGCAGUAUACUGUAGGUAGGGGUAAAGGAUAGAUAAUAGACAGUAACAGCAGUAUACUGUAGGUAGGGGUAAAGGAUAGAUAGACAGUAACAGCAGUAUACUGUAGGUAGGGGUAAAGGAUAGAUAAUAGACAGUAACAGCAGUAUACUGUAGGUAGGGGUAAAGGAUAGAUAAUAGACAGUAACAUCAGUAUACUGUAGGUAGGGGUAAAUGAUAGAUAAUAGACAGUAACAGCAGUAUACUGUAGGUAGGGGUAAAUGAUAGAUAAUAGACAGUAACAGCAGUAUACUGUAGGUAGGGGUAAAGGAUAGAUAAUAGACAGUAACAGCAGUAUACUGUAGGUAGGGGUAAAGGAUAGAUAAUAGACAGUAACAGCAGUAUACUGUAGGUAGAGGUAAAGGAUAGAUAAUAGACAGUAACAGCAGUAUACUGUAGGUAGGGGUAAAGGAUAGAUAAUAGACAGUAACAGCAGUAUACUGUAGGUAGGGGUAAAGGAUAGAUAAUAGACAGUAACAGCAGUAUACUGUAGGUAGAGGUAAAGGAUAGAUAAUAGACAGUAACAGCAGUAUACUGUAGGUAGGGGUAAAGGAUAGAUAAUAGACAGUAACAGCAGUAUACUGUAGGUAGAGGUAAAGGAUAGAUAAUAGACAGUAACAGCAGUAUACUGUAGGUAGGGGUAAAGGAUAGAUAAUAGACAGUAACAGCAGUAUACUGUAGGUAGGGGUAAAGGAUAGAUAAUAGACAGUAACAGCAGUAUACUGUAGGUAGGGGUAAAGGAUAGAUAAUAGACAGUAACAGCAGUAUACUGUAGGUAGGGGUAAAGGAUAGAUAGUAGACAGUAACAGCAGUAUACUGUAGGUAGGGGUAAAGGAUAGAUAAUAGACAGUAACAGCAGUAUACUGUAGGUAGGGGUAAAGGAUAGAUAAUAGACAGUAG